GAGAAACUGUCGUGACGUCAGUUACAUGGACUGGAAUGUUCUUAAAGAUGGAGACAGGGAUUCAGAAAGAGAAACACCAGGGGGAGAUGAGGGGGCUCCUCAUCUCAACGACCAAAACACAACUUCAGUCUGACACGGAGAACCAUGGAACACAUUCAACAGUCCCCUCCAGGCAUCGUGACUCCUCAGGAACAGUUUCAUUUCCAAGAAGGUCUUAUUUGGGGCCAUCCCCAUAUGGAUCCUGCUCCUCAAGAGCCACCCCCCUCCACUGAGUGGUCUUCUGAACAGAUGACCUCCUUCCUGUCCUCAGGCCGACUAAAGCUGCAACGUUUGCAUCUGUGAAGGCCCCUCUUUCAGGAAACCACAGGACUACAAAGACAUGACUUCAGAGAUGUUGAAUCAACCUGGGACAAAUUUUUGGAGACGCCAAGCAUAAUCCAUCACCAAUGUGGGACGCCACUGAAGAAUGUUGUACAUAAAUUACGUCUCUUGAGACAUUGGUUGUUCUGUUCUGGGUGCCCUGGCAGGAGAGCUGGGGGGGGGUGAUGGAAUGUUAUUUGGCAUGAGGUUUUUACCCUGCAUGAUUGUUUGGCCUUUUAUGGCUCAGUGGUGUGUGUUUGGGUUUGACAUGAGAUGGAAGAUUUUUGAGCAUCUCUAGGGUUCUACUGGGUGUGUGUGUGUGUGUGUCUCCCACUCACACCUGACAUGGGGUUCUACGUGCCUGUCCUGGGUUCUAUGUGUGUGUGUGUGUGUGUGUGUGUGUGUGUGUGUGUGUGUGUGUGUGUGUGUGUGUGUGUGUGUGUCCGGCUUGCUUUGACAGUGAUAAUGUUCAUACAGGGUCUGUGUGAUUGGCUUGGGAUAUUGGAAUGGUCAACUAAAUCAUACCUGAUGGACGGCCACACGUUUACUUAAGGGCUUCCAGUGGACAUGAAGAGCCCUGAGCGACGCUCCGGAGCGAGAUCCAACACACUGGGCAGGAAGGAGAGUACCCAACUCAAGUGUAAAAGGAUGCAAGCGGCGUGUUCAGAUCACAAAGAAAAAUAUGUUUUCAGGAAGAGGUUCUGUGCGAGAGGUUCACGACCGACGCAGAGUUGUCAAACUAGGACUACACCAAUCAGGAUCAAUGGAGGAUGGACACCAAAAGGAAUUCCACAAGGAGAGUCUGACGUUGGAAAGGGACCUAAAUGGAUAUUCAAGAUGACCUUCAGACCUGUAAUGAGACGGCUCUUCCUACCUGGCUGGAUUGAUGGAGAGCCCUGUGGAUCUUGUCUUGCUCUCAGUUGCACGUCUUCUCAGGCUGAACUGUAUUUGUUUCGGACAGGACUAGUUGAACGAUUGGUUCCCUUAAAUCAGAACCAAUCCGGGAACUCCAGCUAGUGCGCUCUUCGAGCUGAAGUUGUGCUCUUCAGCUGAGGAGGUAAGGAAACCUUUACUGGGGCUUCAAGGUGUAAAGAGGAGAAUGUUUCAAAGUGUUCCAUGGUACUCUGAUGAAGACCGUUGUUGUGUUCGACUGGCUGAGAGGAAGAACCCACACAUCUUCCUCUUGGCCUUUCUCCUCUGAGAAUCCUGGCGCCAUCUUGAAGGAUAUUCCAGCUCAUGUAACUGAUGUCGCGACAGAUUCUCAAACACUUGGUUUCUCCUGAGGGGCGUGUCUAUAGAACUGAAGACUUCAGACGGCACUGUAUCCCAGCAUGCAUCUCUGCUCACUCAGACCACACCCCCAUGAGUAGGAUGCAACACUCUAGUGAUGGAGAUGUAGAGUUUUAUAAGUAACGAGGGAGCAGUCUGUAAAUCUUUAAACUAUGCAGAUGGUUGGAUAGUUCAGGAAUAUGGCUUAUUUUUAUUAUGGGCAGUCCUUUCACUCGGAUGCCCACUUCUCACUGGAGCUGUACAUGUGUUGGCUGGCUGGCAUGAUUUGCUGUUGGUGAUGAGGCGGUCAGGGUGACGUUGCAGGGCUAUGGUCGGCUCUCUGUGAGCUCAACGUUUAGAUUUGCUCUGCAUGGUUUGUACCCUGAAUAAUCUAGAUAAUUGUAAAAUGUAGACACGGUUUUCUAUUGAAUGAUUCCAGGAUUUUAAUUUUAAAGUUGUUGUGGGACGUACAUGGUAGUUUGGUUCUUUGUAUGGUUUUGAGUGAUAACUUGUACACACUGGGUGCAUAAUAAUGUAAAGGUACACUGAAUAGUAUUAAUGACCAACAGCAACAAACAGAUCUCCUCAAGGUAAGUCUGUUGGCUGUAUUUUAAUGAAGACCAUCGCUGGACUUCAGGAUCUUCCUCCGUUCAGCUCAAGGUGAGGCGCUGGUUAUGUUUUUUCUUUGGUUGGUUCCGGCCGGAAUGUUCGGAUUCCUGUCGGACGGUUUGUGCUUCCCGCCGGGAAGUUUCUGAGUGCGGUCACUUGAUUUAGUCCCAAUGGUUAGCAUAGAAAGUUGUAGUCUUGACAACCAUAAGAAACCACCUGGCAGUUAGUUUGACGGGAGUCCCCUGAGGGAAUCUGGCGGAACGUUCUGGAUUGUAUUUGCGUAACCUCGAGCCGUUGUCAACGGAAACUAUUUUUCAGUCUGUUUCCAUUGGGAAUUGUUUGAUAUUUGAUAUUACAUUUUGUUUGAUAUUAAAUACAUACUGACACGUACGUCGUACAAUAUGUUAAUUUCCGAUGGUUGCGGCGUACUUUUAACCACGUUGACGUGACGGGACUCUCACUGCGUACAAAACUGCGUUCUACUUGCGGGCCCAUUUUUGACAUCAAGGAAGGCUGAAAAUCAUUUCAAGGUGGAAGAUAAUUUGACAUUUCUUCAACGGAAUCCAGCACCUGAAUAUGGCUGAGUAUAUUUGAUUUAAUAUCGAUACUGCUUAGUGUUCUUUGUUACUUCAGCUUUUGUACGUUCUAAAUAUCUGCUGUCAUUAAUUGCCACAGAAGUUAAACCCUAGCCAAUGGAAUGAAGUUAAACGACGACUUUGGUGCAGAGUUACCAACUAGAUAAUAUCAAAGCUAAAAUAAUGGCCGUCAUUCCCACAUGUUACAGUAGAAGAUACUCUAGAACUGUACAAGGUUAAAAAGGUAACAUGUAGUUUGUCCCAAGGUGUCUGCCUCCUCACCCAGAGCCAGACCUCCACCUCCUCACCAAGAGCCAGACCUCCACCUCCUCACCCAGAGCCAGACCUCCACCUCCUCACCCAGCAGACCUCCACCUCCUCACCCAGAGCCAGACCUCCACCUCCUGUCAGAAGUCCUCCAGAACAGGUCAGUGCUCUGGGUGAGUAGAGUCUUCUCAGGUUAGUUUUAAUGCAUGGCCUUAACCACUUCUUUAAACUUGUGGACUGCUGUCUUCAUUCCUCUGCUAGUCUUUUGUAGCUGAAAGGCGAGGCUGAGAGGCUGGGGACCGGAGGCUUGUGGUGCCAGGGUGGACCGGAGACUGAGGCUGGAGAACAGGGGCCUGCAGCACCGGACCAGAGGGAAUCCAUGGCUGAAGGAGCUGAUGGAGGAGCCGUGCUGAAGGCCCUGGGCUGGUGGAGGAGCUGGUGGAGGGCCUGCCUGGGGAAUGACGUCUAUCGUGGGUUAGAUGGAGCCUGACUCUGAAGUGAUCAUCACACUCACUGCCACUUCUAGUAGAAUACUGCUACCACAAACUACCGGCGUUUGUACCAUAUAUACCAGACGACUACAUCUGUUUUACCACAUGUUGAAGCAAGACUUCCGCUGUUUGUUCCAGACCAGGACUCUGUCUGAGGAGAGCUGCUGGAGGAGCUGAGACGCUGGAGGACGACUAGGAAUCGACCAAAACGUGUUUCUGGAGCGGAGGCGAGCUGGUAGGGGAGCCGUGAAUCUGGAGGAUGACAUCACUCUACCAACAAGGAUUACUUUAGGGCCAGACUCACGCUGUUUGUUCCAGACCAGGACUCUGGCUGAGGAGAGCUGAUGGAGGAGCCAAGACACGAGCCAAGAGGACGACAUCACUCCACCAACCAGGAUCCUCACCAGGAAUCUGGAUGACUGAUGGAGAAGCCGUACAUCUGGAAGGCAAAUCCUGAGGACCACCAGGACUCUACCAUCAAGGACUAGACACACCUGAGCUGAACCUCACCUGAUCCUGUUUGGUCGGGGGUAGACACACCUGAGCUAAACCCGCCCUGAUCCUGACAUCCUGCUGGUCCUGUCUCCUCAGUUCAUCUGAGCCUCGUCCUCCAGAAGACCUGCUGAGCUCAGCAGUCUGAGGCUGAUGGAUCAAUGACCUCCAGUGGGAGUGAUCUUCUUGACCCCACAUGUAACCGUGUGCUUCCACACGCCUUUCCCUCACGUCUGUCACUAACCUCACUACUUCACUACUCUCUACUGCUUCCUCUUUUCUUCCUUCUCUGUGGUUCGAACCUUUACACGGAAGGCGCGUCUUCCUGCCCUCAGAGGGUUCAGCGUUAGGGUUGAGAGUCAGGGUUUAGAGUCAGGGACAGAGCUGGUCAGGGAGGACUGCUUUUACACAAACCUCUUCACUUGCUUUCGGAAUGGUGGUGACAUUUUGAAAAGAUUCAUUUGGGAAAAUGUUUUCCUCUGCUUUCCUUUACAAAAUUGUAUUAAACUUCUGUCAAGUGUUUUUGUUUAUAUAUUAAAAUCGCACAUUGACUUCUACAUGUUU